rnacentral:rRNA from 1 species
CACAGUGUAGCAAUACAUGGGUGGCGACCGGCAAACGGGUGCGGAACACGUACGCAACCUUCCUUCAGGCGGGGAAUAGCCCAGAGAAAUUUGGAUUAAUACCCCAUAAUAUUUUGAGAUGGCAUCAUCUUAUUAUUAAAGCUACGGCACCUGGAGAUGGGCGUGCGGCUGAUUAGGUAGUUGGCGGGGUAAUGGCCCACCAAGCCUACGAUCAGUAGCUGAUGUGAGAGCAUGAUCAGCCACACGGGCACUGAGACACGGGCCCGACUCCUACGGGAGGCAGCAGUAAGGAAUAUUGGUCAAUGGACGCAAGUCUGAACCAGCCAUGCCGCGUGGAGGAUGAAGGUCCUCUGGAUUGUAAACUUCUUUUAUCUGGGACAAAAAAGGGUUUUCUAACUCGUCUGACGGUACCAGAUGAAUAAGCACCGGCUAACUCCGUGCCAGCAGCCGCGGUAAUACGGAGGGUGCAAGCGUUAUCCGGAUUCACUGGGUUUAAAGGGUGCGUAGGCGGGCAUUUAAGUCAGUGGUGAAAUACCUGAGCUUAACUUGGGAACUGCCAUUGAUACUAUUUGUCUUGAAUGUCGUGGAGGUUAGCGGAAUAUGUCAUGUAGCGGUGAAAUGCUUAGAUACGACAUAGAACACCUAUUGCGAAGGCAGCUAACUACGCGAAUAUUGACGCUGAGGCACGAAAGCGUGGGGAUCAAACAGGAUUAGAUACCCUGGUAGCCCACGCCCUAAACGAUGAUUACUCGACAUUAGCGAUACACUGUUAGUGUCUGAGCG